AUGACACAAUCAAACCCGAAUGAACAAAAUGUUGAAUUGAAUCGUACCAGUCUAUACUGGGGUUUAUUACUCAUUUUUGUACUUGCUGUUUUAUUUUCCGCACCUGCCAGUGAAGGAGGAGCCGGCCUUGCCCCGGCAGAACCGCAUCGUCCAGAUCGGACGUCACGUUAA
rnacentral:rRNA from 1 species